rnacentral:rRNA from 1 species
UACGAAGGGGGCUAGCGUUGCUCGGAAUCACUGGGCGUAAAGCGCACGUAGGCGGAUCUUUAAGUCAGGGGUGAAAUCCUGGAGCUCAACUCCAGAACUGCCUUUGAUACUGGGGAUCUCGAGUCCGGAAGAGGUGAGUGGAACUCCGAGUGUAGAGGUGAAAUUCGUAGAUAUUCGGGAGAACACCAGUGGCGAAGGCGGCUCACUGGUCCGGUACUGACGCUGAUGUGCGAAAGCGUGGGGAGCAAACAGG